UGCAGUCGACGACUCUGGUAUUGAUUGGUGCUUGCAUCAUGAUUUACAUUUGAGUGAGUGGCGAACUGGUGAGUAACACGUGGGAAACCUGCCCAGAAGCGGGGGAUAACACCUGGAAACAGAUGCUAAUACCGCAUAACAACUUGGACCGCAUGGUCCGAGUUUGAAAGAUGGCUUCGGCUAUCACUUUUGGAUGGUCCCGCGGCGUAUUAGCUAGAUGGUGGGGUAACGGCUCACCAUGGCAAUGAUACGUAGCCGACCUGAGAGGGUAAUCGGCCACAUUGGGACUGAGACACGGCCCAAACUCCUACGGGAGGCAGCAGUAGGGAAUCUUCCACAAUGGACGAAAGUCUGAUGGAGCAACGCCGCGUGAGUGAAGAAGGGUUUCGGCUCGUAAAACUCUGUUGUUAAAGAAGAACAUAUCUGAGAGUAACUGUUCAGGUAUUGACGGUAUUUAACCAGAAAGCCACGGCUAACUACGUGCCAGCAGCCGCGGUAAUACGUAGGUGGCAAGCGUUGUCCGGAUUUAUUGGGCGUAAAGCGAGCGCAGGCGGUUUUUUAAGUCUGAUGUGAAAGCCUUCGGCUCAACCGAAGAAGUGCAUCGGAAACUGGGAAACUUGAGUGCAGAAGAGGACAGUGGAACUCCAUGUGUAGCGGUGAAAUGCGUAGAUAUAUGGAAGAACACCAGUGGCGAAAGGCGGCUGUCUGGUCUGUAACUGACGCUGAGGCUCGAAAGUAUGGGUAGCAAACAGGAUUAGAUACCCUGGUAGUCCAUACCGUAACGAUGAAUGCUAAGUGUUGAGGGUUUCCGCCCUUCAGUGCUGCAGCUAACGCAUAAGCAUUCC
rnacentral:rRNA from 2 species